UGUCGAGUCUUUAAAAUUCAAAUUCAAAUAAAAAUAAAAUUGUGUGGGAAAAAAUAGGCAAAUAUACAAAUAAAAAAAACUCGACAGCGCGACCUUUGCAAAUAUGUACAGAAAGAGUGUUUAAAAUUUUAAAGGAUCGGUGCAGAUAGACCCUCUGUUAGAAUAGAAUCCAAUAAGAGGGUCUGCUUAGGACUUAGAUAUCAUAGAAUGAUGCUCCCCUUGAGAGGUAAAAAAAGAUUCAUGAAUACUUUUAUAGUAUUAUAGCCAUUUCGCUUCAGCGAUAGAAAUCCGCUUCAGCGGAUGAGAAGUAUGCGUGCUUAAGCGAAACAGGGGAGUAUCUACAACGUUUAACGCGCCUCAAAACUGAUACAAAUUGAGGAGGGGAGGGAAGAUUGCGUUACAAAGCUGCAACGUCGAUUUUGUGAUAUAAUCCAGAUCUGUUUACCGGAGAUACCAAACAGGGAACAGCAAAAACGCUUUAUCAUUUUGAUUGGCCUGGUAGCAUCCAACUGUUAAAACGAUUUCCUGUCAACGAGGAGGGACUGGAGGAGGGUUGUCAUUUAGUCAUAAGUCAUUUAUUUGCCAAUUACAUUAUAUAUCUUUUUUCUUAAUAGUUAAUAUGGAAACAACGAAUAUAUUUUGUUAACACAUUUUUUUCUUAAACAUCAACACCUAUGUUUCGCCCUCUCUAGAAAACAGAAGAAAGUACUGAGGUUGUACUUUCGCGAUAAAUUUCAAGCAACCGGUGCAUGGGUGAUCAUAAUUAUGAUCUAGCCAUGUCCGUCUGUCUGUCCGUUUCUGCGCAAACUAGUCUCUCAGUUUUAAAGCUAUCAGGCUGAAUCUUUCCUAAAAAUCUUAUUUCUAUUGCAGGUAGUAUAUAAGUCGGAACCAGCCGGAUCGGACAACUAUAUCUUAUAGCUCCCAUAGGAACU